rnacentral:rRNA from 1 species
GAGUUUGAUCCUGGCUCAGAUUGAACGCUGGCGGCAGGCCUAACACAUGCAAGUCGAGCGGUAGAGAGGUGCUUGCACCUCUUGAGAGCGGCGGACGGGUGAGUAAUGCCUAGGAAUCUGCCUGGUAGUGGGGGAUAACGCUCGGAAACGGACGCUAAUACCGCAUACGUCCUACGGGAGAAAGCAGGGGACCUUCGGGCCUUGCGCUAUCAGAUGAGCCUAGGUCGAAUUAGCUAGUUGGUGAGGUAAUGGCUCACCAAGGCGACGAUCCGUAACUGGUCUGAGAGGAUGAUCAGUCACACCGGAACUGAGACACGGUCCAGACUCCUACGGGAGGCAGCAGUGGGGAAUAUUGGACAAUGGGCGAAAGCCUGAUCCAGCCAUGCCGCGUGUGUGAAGAAGGUCUUCGGAUUGUAAAGCACUUUAAGUUGGGAGGAAGGGCAGUUACCUAAUACGUAAUUGUUUUGACGUUACCGACAGAAUAAGCACCGGCUAACUCUGUGCCAGCAGCCGCGGUAAUACAGAGGGUGCAAGCGUUAAUCGGAAUUACUGGGGCGUAAAGCGCGCGUAGGUGGUUCGUUAAGUUGGAUGUGAAAUCCCCGGGCUCAACCUGGGAACUGCAUUCAAAACUGUCGAGCUAGAGUAUGGUAGAGGGUGGUGGAAUUUCCUGUGUAGCGUGAAAUGCGUAGAUAUAGGAAGGAACACCGGUGGCGAAGCGACCACCUGGACUGAUACUGACACUGAGUGCGAAGCGUGGGGAGCAAACAGGAUUAGAUACC